GAAGACUUUGGACGCCUUCAGAAUAGGGCAGUCAGCAAACCCAGUGCCUCUAGAAACAGCUCCACUGGUAAGAGGAUUUCCUGAUGCUGUAGCUGCUGUUGGAAAGCCCUCUGGCCAUCCUGUGGGAGGGGGUCAUGUGAGAUGAAAUAGGAGACAAUUCGCCAAAUGAGGAGGCCCCUCCACUUCUGAAAGUACUUGGACACAAACCAGAUGGUGGGGCACAAAGUCCUUCCAGCAGUUAUGUCCCUCAGCCCUCGUAGUAAUUGGACAAAGUUGGAGCACCCCAUGCUGGCCCACCAGAUC
rnacentral:lncRNA from 1 species